CUUGCUCCACCGGGAAAAGAGGAGUGGCGAACGGGUGAGUAACACGUGGGUAACCUGCCCAUCAGAAGGGGAUAACACUUGGAAACAGGUGCUAAUACCGUAUAACAAUCGAAACCGCAAGGUUUCGUUUUGAAAGGCGCUUUACGGUGCCGCUGAUGGAUGGACCCGCGGUGCAUUAGCUAGUUGGUGAGGUAACGGCUCACCAAGGCCACGAUGCAUAGCCGACCUGAGAGGGUGAUCGGCCACAUUGGGACUGAGACACGGCCCAAACUCCUACGGGAGGCAGCAGUAGGGAAUCUUCGGCAAUGGACGAAAGUCUGACCGAGCAACGCCGCGUGAGUGAAGAAGGUUUUCGGAUCGUAAAACUCUGUUGUUAGAGAAGAACAAGGGUGAGAGUAACUGUUCACCCCUUGACGGUAUCUAACCAGAAAGCCACGGCUAACUACGUGCCAGCAGCCGCGGUAAUACGUAGGUGGCAAGCGUUGUCCGGAUUUAUUGGGCGUAAAGCGAGCGCAGGCGGUUUCUUAAGUCUGAUGUGAAAGCCCCCGGCUCAACCGGGGAGGGUCAUUGGAAACUGGGAGACUUGAGUGCAGAAGAGGAGAGUGGAAUUCCAUGUGUAGCGGUGAAAUGCGUAGAUAUAUGGAGGAACACCAGUGGCGAAGGCGGCUCUCUGGUCUGUAACUGACGCUGAGGCUCGAAAGCGUGGGGAGCAAACAGGAUUAGAUACCCUGGUAGUCCACGCCGUAGACGAUGAGUGCUAAGUGUUGGAGGGUUUCCGCCCUUCAGUGCUGCAGCUAACGCAUUAAGCACUCCGCCUGGGGAGUACGACCGCAAGGUUGAAACUCAAAGGAAUUGACGGGGGCCCGCACAAGCGGUGGAGCAUGUGGUUUAAUUCGAAGCAACGCGAAGAACCUUACCAGGUCUUGACAUCCUUUGACCACUCUAGAGAU
rnacentral:rRNA from 1 species